rnacentral:SRP_RNA from 2 species
UGAAGGUGCCAUCGCGAUGGUUAUUCUUCGAACCAGGUCAGGACGGGAACGUAGCAGCCUUAAGAUUACUUAAUCAUGUGCGGUGGUUUUUAAUUUA